GGAUCUUCGCAAUUGGGCGAAAGCUGACGAGCACGCCGCGUGAGUGAUGAAAGUCUCGAUCGUAAACUCUGUUAUCAGGGAAGAACAAUGUGUAAGUAACUGUGCACAUCUGACGGUACCUGAUCAGAAAACCACGGCUAACUACGUGCCAGCAGCCGCGGUAAUACGGUAGGUGGCAAGCGUUAUCCGGAAUUAUUGGGCGUAAAGCGCGCGUAGGCGGUUUUUUAAGUCUGAUGUGAAAGCCCACGGCUCAACCGUGGAGGGUCAUUGGAAACUGGAAAACUUGAGUGCAGAAGAGGAAAGUGGAAUUCCAUGUGUAGCGGUGAAAUGCGCAGAGAUAUGGAGGAACACCACUGGCGAAGGCGACUUUCUGGUCUGUAACUGACGCUGAUGUGCGAAAGCGUGGGGAUCAAACACGAUUAGAUACCCUGGUAGUGCACGCCGUAAACGAUGAGUGCUAAGUGUUAGGGGGUUUCUGCCCCUUAGUGCUGCAGAUCACGCACUAAGCACUCUGCCUGGGGAGUACGACCUCACGGUUGAAACUCAAAGGAAUUGACGGGGACCCGCACACGCGGUGGAGCACGUGGUUUAAUUUGAAGCAACGCGAAGAACCCUACCAAAUCUUGACAUCUUUUGACCGAUCUAGAGAUAGAGUGUUUCCCUUUGGGGGACAAAGUGACAGGUGGUGCAUGGUUGUCGUCAGCUCGUGUCGUGAGAUGUUGGGUUAAGUCCCGCAACGAGCGCAACCCUUAAUCUUAGUUGCCAUCAUUAAGUUGGGCACUCUAAGUUGACUGCCGGUGACAAACCGGAGGAAGGUGGGGAUGACGUCAAAUCAUCAUGCCCCUUAUGAUUUGGGCUACACACGUGCUACAAUGGACAAUACAAAGGGCAGCUAAACCGCGAGGUCAAGCAAAUCCCAUAAAGUUGUUCUCAGUUCGGAUUGUAGUCUGCAACUCGACUACAUGAAGCUGGAAUCGCUAGUAAUCGUAGAUC
rnacentral:rRNA from 1 species